AGUAAUACAUCGGAACAUGUCUUCUAGUGGGGGAUAACUGCCCGAAAGGGCAGCUAAUACCGCAUGAGACCUGAGGGUGAAAGCGGGGGAUCGCAAGACCUCGCGCUGGAAGAGCGGCCGAUGUCCGAUUAGCUAGUUGGUGAGGUAAAGGCUCACCAAGGCGACGAUCGGUAGCUGGUCUGAGAGGACGACCAGCCACACUGGGACUGAGACACGGCCCAG
rnacentral:rRNA from 1 species